rnacentral:rRNA from 1 species
GAUGAACGCUGGCGGCGUGCCUAAUACAUGCAAGUCGAGCGAACGGACGAGAAGCUUGCUUCUCUGAUGUUAGCGGCGGACGGGUGAGUAACACGUGGAUAACCUACCUAUAAGACUGGGAUAACUUCGGGAAACCGGAGCUAAUACCGGAUAAUAUUUUGAACCGCAUGGUUCAAAAGUGAAAGAAGGUCUUGCUGUCACUUAUAGAUGGAUCGGCGCUGCAUUAGCUAGUUGGUAAGGUAACGGCUUACCAAGGCAACGAUGCAUAGCCGACCUGAGAGGGUGAUCGGCCACCCUGGAACUGAGACACGGUCCCGACUCCUACGGGAGGCAGCAGUAGGGAAUCUUCCGCAAUGGGCGAAAGCCUGACGUAGCAACGCCGCGUGAGUGAUGAAGGUCUUCGGAUCGUAAAACUCUGUUAUUAGGGAAGAACAUAUGUGUAAGUAACUGUGCACAUCUUGACGGUACCUAAUCAGAAAGCUACGGCUAACUACGUG